rnacentral:lncRNA from 1 species
CUCAGCCGCCCUAGAAUUCCUAAUGCUCCCCGUCUCUCUAAAGCCUAAUCCUAACCCUAGUCGCAUCCACCCAAAACCGGCCCUAAUCCCUUUGAUUCCUAUUCGAUCCAUGGAUUUCCAUGGCCGUUUGAGGCUCCUACGGAUCUUCUAUGUCUUGUGGUUGCUCGUUCUUAUGGUUUCCUGGAAAAAUCUCAAAGAGAUCUAAUUAGAUCUAGUUCAAGACUCUCGAAGAGCCUGUCUAUGGUUGUGAGUGUUGCUAUCUCGAUGCUUUUAUGGUCCAAAUCUCUUGUUUGACACUAGAUUCCCUUUACCCUUUCAUUCUUUCUUCAAAGCCCUAAUUUUUAAACCCGGAUCCUUCCAGAUCUUUGUAGAUCUGGAGAGAUUCCGAGUUCGUCACCAAUUUUUCUUUAAUGUUCUCCUAUUUCCCUACUGAUUAACCAAUUUUUAGCACUAUAUUACUUUAUAUUUUGGGUUCUUUGUUAUCUGUUGUUCGAAUCUAUGCAUACUUGAAAUGUUUCAAGUUUCCGUGAUUUUUAUUUAAGUUUCUCUUAUUCCUUUACUAUUAACAGAUUUUUAGAACUAUGAUACUUUAGGUUUUUGAUUUCUCUAUUUUUUAUUGUCUGAAUCUCUGCAUGUUUAAGUUGCUUUCUGUUUCCAUGGCUAUUUGUUCAAAUUCCCUAAUCUUGCUGCUACUAAUCAACCCUAAGUAUCUUUCUAAUUAUCUGGGGUUUCCACUUCCAUUUUUGCAAAAGGUUUUCUGAAGAUUUAGGUUUCUCGCAUGGUUAUCUUUCUGGUCCAAGUGAUUGAAUACUCAGUGUUUGAUUUCAACCUCUUGCCCAUUAUCGUUUGAAUAAUUGAAUGAUUGACCUAAUUAUCUAGGGUUUCAUUUGUUUACUAAAUUAAUUAACUGAUCUCUGAUUUUUUUCCUUAAUCCCGAGUUUCUUAAUUGAUAGCUCUCGCCUAUCUAUGGGUUGAUUGACCCUUUGGUUGGUCUUUGAUUACCCGUGUUGCCGUAUUUGUGAAACUGAUUACUUGACUGUUAAACCUACUUUUUGCCUUAUUUGAAAUUCAAUAAGAGUCAUUUAUGGUAUAAAUCCCUAAUUUCCUAUCCCAAUCAAGCUUGAUUGAUAAUUUGAUUACUUCUUUUACCUUAUUUACAAUAUUUACCCGCCUUGCCUUAAUAAGUUGUCUGCAUGGUUUUGAGUAUUCUUAUUGAUUCCCUAUUUGGUAUAACUUGGAUUCCUUACCCUAAUUAACCUUUUCUUCUUGAUGUUAAGUGAUUACCCCUAAUUAUGGGGUCUAUUCCGGACUCACUCACAUGAUUUGAUUCUAUAAUUAAUUGAUUGCCCUUAUUUUAUGAGUUGUGCUUCACUCUUUACCUUAUUUUUUUACCUCACUAGGUGUUAUAUAUACUCUCAUUCUGAUUCUUCUAAAGACACGGACAAUAAUUUGCACACACAAAAAACUUUCCUCUCAUCUCUCUCUCUGCUACUUGUGAUCACUGCUUGACGAGCCGGCUGAACGCCAAGGCUAGACUGUGGAAGCUUGUCUACUUUACCUUCUGUUUUUGCCUCUUUAAAUGGUAAGCCUCUACCACUGUCAUUCAAUUAAAAUGUGUGUUUAUUACCAUGCGAUUUCUGUUUAAAUUUGUGUGUUUAUCAGCAUGUCACCUAUGUUUAAAUUUGUUUGUUUACCAGCAUACUUACUUCUGUUCAAUCCAUGUGUUUGUUAGCAUGACUACUUCUGUCCAAUCUAUGUGGCUGCUUCUUCACAAAACCAUGUAGUCAAUAGCAUGUCUAACUAUGUGUUUCAAUCAUGCUGAACCUAUGUGUUUAUGUCUACUCCUGUCCAAUACAUGUGUUUACAACAAUAGCAUGUUGACUUCUGUUUUAAUUAAAACUAGGUGUUCUUUCUUUUCAACAAGUUUGCAUGUUUACUUGUGUCUAAAAUUAGAUCUAUAUCUACUUCCAUACUAGCAUGAUCUCCUAUCUGAAUACCUUGCUCCCCAAUCCCUACUACCCUCUACUUGUGGUUGUUUGAUCUUCAGCAUGCAUUGCUUAUGUGUUUGGUCACUUAGAAACAACUAAUAAACUUAAGUAAUCCUAUUUUUGAAUGCUGUUUUUUUGGCUGGAACCUUUGCCUAGGUUCUAGAAACUGAAUGAUUAUGUUUACUUCUGAUUUUUAUGGAAGUCUAAAACUGUUUUCUCAAACUACUCUUGAAAAUCACUAUCACUUUAACUCUUAGAACAUCUAGGGUCCUGCCCCUCCAGUGUGAGCAUUGUUUUGGAGUCCAUGAGACACCUCUGAUCUUUGACACACUGGGGCUGGCUAUUCUACACUGCAUAAGUUGUUGAUCUUAAAAGGAGUCCUUGGUGUGAGUGAUAACUACGGAUUCUAGUAUAUUUUAUACUCUUUUUUGCUUGAGUUUUGGACUAAAAAUAUAUACAAGUAAUCUCGAAAGCUUACAUGUUGUGUUUGUUUGCAGAGUUUGGUCAAAAGAGUGGAAAGUUGUGAAAACCAACUCAAAAAGGAGUGAAACCUACACAAGUACUAAUGACAAGUCAAGGCAUUGCUGCAGCAUAAAGUCCACCGCAUCCGCAACAGGCCCACCGCGGCCGCAGACCAUUUAGUGCGGUCCGCGGUGGAUAAGUUCAAAGAGGUGCACUUUUGGGCUUCAAGUAGUGCGGUCUGUGGAGGAUUUCUCAUUGCCGCAGUAGUCUCUUCGCGGCCACAAUCCAUUUUAUGUGGUCCGCGGAGAGGGGAUUCUGAGAGUUGGGAGUUUUGAACAUGGGAGCCAUUGCGGUCCGCGUUCCAUUUUGUGCGGACCACAGUGAAGCCACCACGGCCGUGGUGCAUUUUAUGCAGUCCGCGGUGGCUAGAUUCAGAGACUGAGCAAUGAAGAUAAAAAGCCUCACCACAUCCGCAACGCAUUUUCCGCGGUACCUCCGUCAGGGGUAUUUUUGUCCAGAAAAUUUGGCCUUGUAUAAAUAGUUCUUUUCUAGAUUUUUAGGGUAGCUUUAUUUGAGUAAAGCACGUGAACGACAGUUUUGUUCUAUUUUGAGUAAUUUGUAGCUAGUUUAACAUUGAAUCUUCAAUAUCUUAGUUUGUAAUCACAUUAUAUGGUUUAUUAGCUAAGAUUGUGGCUCAACCCUAGUAUGGGUAUUUGAU